UNGGAGAGGAAAGUGGAAUUCCUAGUGUAGCGGUGAAAUGNGUAGAUAUUAGGAAGAACACCAGUGGCGAAGGCGACUUUCUGGACGAAAACUGACGCUGAGGCGCGAAANCCAGGGGAGCGAACGGGAUUAGAUACCCCGGUAGUCCUGNCCGUAAACGAUGGGUACUAGGUGUAGGAGGUAUCGACCCNUUCUGCGCCGGAGUUAACGCAAUAAGUACCCCGCCUGGGGAGUACGACCGCAAGGUUGAAACUCAAAGGAAUUGACGGGGGCCCGCACAAGCGGUGGAGUAUGUGGUUUAAUUCGACGCAACGCGAAGAACCUUACCAGGUCUUGACAUUGAUGGACAGAACUAGAGAUAGUUCNUCUUCUUCGGAAGCCAGAAAACAGGUGGUGCACGGUUGUCGUCAGCUCGUGUCGUGAGAUGUUGGGUUAAGUCCCGCAACGAGCGCAACCCCUAUCUUAUGUUGCCAGCACUUUGGGUGGGAACUCAUGAGAGACUGCCGCAGACAAUGCGGAGGAAGGCGGGGAUGACGUCAAAUCAUCAUGCCCCUUAUGACCUGGGCUACACACGUACUACAAUGGGAGUUAAUAGACGGAAGCGAGAUCGCGAGAUGGAGCAAACCCGAGAAACACUCUCUCAGUUCGGAUCGUAGGCUGCAACUCGCCUACGUGAAGUCGGAAUCGCUAGUAAUCGCAGGUCAGCAUACUGCGGUGAAUACGUUCCCGGGCCUUGUACACACCGCCCGUCACACCACGAAAGUCGGAAGUGCCCANAGCCGGUGGGGUA
rnacentral:rRNA from 1 species